rnacentral:sRNA from 1 species
UCGAAAUCCAGAAUUUUUUCAUUUUUCAAUUCAAGACAAAACUAACACUACUUAAAAAUUGGUGUAUGUAUAUAAGGUUUAUGAAGAGGUGUUAUUCGGAUAUUUGAAUGCCAAUUAAAAAUUAAAAUUUAAAGAAUGAUGAAUUCCACUGCUGGAAGUUCGUCCCAGAAAGUCGGAGAAAAGGUAUUUCCGCACCCUCAAGGCCUGGGGUCAUUAUCAACAAAUGUCGCCCCAGGAAUUCUCAAGUGCAUAUUGCUGCGAUGCCAGCUGGCCUAAUGAGACAUUAGCCGGGAAAAAGAAAGGGGAACGGGAUGCUGGAGAAUGGCCCUGAAAACAACACUCUGAAAAGGUAGCCAAGAGGAAAAAUCAUUUCAAAAUCCCCAAAGACACAUACCUCGAUGCCGGCCCGACUC